GGUUAGUUGGUGGUUUUUUUAAUCUGGUUGUGUCUUAAUAAAAGUUACAAGCGCCAAGUGGUAUAAAAAAUUAAAAUCACAAAAAAAUACUGAACCGCCUCACAUACUAUCAUUUAGUAUAUUUUGUGAAGGGUAAUGUGACGGGUGUCAUUUGUGUUGUUGCACUGCUAAUUCUUGCAAACAUGAAAAAUUUCACUUCAGCUUUUUGGUGAUGUUAUAUUUAGGUGCCAGACUACCAAUUACUCUCUCCAAUUUAGAACGUAUGUAAAAGUAGCCCUGGUCUGACACAAAAUAGUGCUUUUGAUGUCCUUGAUUACUUAAACUAACCAACAAAUUUGCAGAAAUAAAAUUUUUGGUGAAAGAGAAAUAUAUUAAGACAAUUUUGAGCUAAAAUUAACUUGUUUAUGAGUUUGCAUUAAAAAUUGACGAUUAUUGCGCUUCAUAGUAUACUAAUUUAACAUUUCCAGAAAACCAAGGGUCAUUUUUGGAGUACCUCUGUUCGAAGGUCAGAUUUUUUCUUAGAAGGCUUUAAAGAUAUGUUGAAAAUAGACAUGUAGAAACCUGAUUCAUGUUCAAUUCUGGAUAUACCUGGUUUCUAUGAAGUUAAACUUAAGGUAAAAUAUUUGGAAAGCUGUGAAAUUGCAAAAUUUGGUUGAACCGAUAGGGAUUUUUAAUUGGUGGUCUGACACCUACAGUUCCUCGGUCUUUUGUUUUCUGUGUUAUGUUGACAGUCUUUGUGUCAUUAAAUGUUUCUAUGUGUUUUUCGUGGUACUUGUGGUUUAUUUUAUUGAACCCUUUGUAUUUAUACUUAGUUGUUUUGUAGUGAUUAUGACAGGACGAUAGCUUCCAAUAUAUUGUGUCUUUAUCUUAUCCUAGCAGAAAUGCGCUAUCUUUUUUAUCUAUUUUAACUUUUGUUGCUAUUGGUUUUAUGCUUCUUGUAGAUCUUAUCUAGUUGAUUGUUUAAUGUUGAGUUCUUUGUAUUUAUUGAACUUUUCAAAAAAAUAUUCAUUUUUUUUUUCUAUUUAAUUGUCAUUAGGUCGAUGUAUGACUUGAACAGCGGUAAACUACUGUAGCCUUUUUUGACAAACAGCUAGUCUUUCACUUAGUCAAAUGACAAAUUUUGAUUAUGUAAAGUAAAUUGUUU
rnacentral:lncRNA from 1 species